CGUUGUGUCCGGAAAACGGCGGCCGGUUUCGCUCCUAGCGAAAACGCCAACGGAGCGCCAGACGGGCGCGAAUCACGGUGCCGCGACGCUGAACCGGCUGGCCACGAACGGAGCGGUGCUAGGACCGAGAAGGCGACGGCACAUAGGACCCAGGCCCACGCGAGGGAGAAGAGUUCCCUUUGGCGCCUUGAGGGUGGCGGCCAAAGUGAAAGCGCCCGCUCGACGCUGCUGGCGAAAGUGCGACUGAGAAAACGCGGACUGGGCGGCAGGAGCCGGGCCCCGCGCAGCACCCGCGGCGCGCGGAACGGGGCGCUAGCGCGGCCGAGACCCAGCGGCGCUCCUCCGCUCCCGGGCGCAGGCGGCCCAGGGAGCUGCCGCUGAGCGCAGACACACUCAGGAACUCGGUAGAAAACUACAUGUAAAUUAAAAUACUACAAAUGCAUAAGAAAUCCUAAAAUGAAGAUACAUGUGAAAACAAAACAACAGAGCAAAACACACCGGAAAAGAAUUUUUACAAGCCAACCGUUCAGAGAAACUAGCCCUACGAGAAACAAACAGCAAAACACCGUUGAAAGGGGCAGUCCUAGGAUUAGAUGAUCGCUGUCACUCUCGCUAAAUCGGUGUUUGCCACGCUCCAAAGCGCAUUCCCGGGCACACUCCGACUAGCAUGAGUGAAAUGUGCAGCAUAGCUAAUGCGGAACUCGCUAUGUGAAAAUGGCUCAAAGCAAUUGCGUUGCUGCCAGCCACCCGCUGCGAGGGAUGGGGAAGGCCGCGGGGCUGCGACCCUGAGAAAGCUCCGGCUGCACUCUAGUGGAAACUACUUCUGAGAAAACGCCGGCCUAGUGCACUUGCCGGGACCGCGACCGACCAAACACUGACACAGAGCGCCUAAGGGUGCCGGGACACAGCAAGGGAGGCACAGCGCAGAUAGCGGCGUUGUGGCCAAAGUCAAAUGUCCGUUUUGGCGCUUUCGAGGGUGCUGCCACCUAGAAACUGCGGACACUGAGAACUGAGCCGUGCUCACACCGAGAAAGAUGGGAGUUGCAGGUGAUAAGAUGAGGUGAAUGAAGUGGGGUGAAAUGAAAUAAAAUAGAAACCAGGUUUGAAACCCCCCCCCCCAGCAAACAAACCCGAAUAAGCCACGUAAACAAAACUAAAUCGAGUUUAUUUCAAAACAUAAGGGUAAUUUAACUCAAGCUAUUUCUUGUAAAUACCUUUGAAAAUCAUUUAAAAACAAAAACAAAAAACCCUUGUCUUCCUGUAACGGAAAAAGAUAAUCACUUUAACCAAUCCCCUGCCCUCUGGAAACCUCCAUUGUAUUUAAUAGCCAAUCAUUGUAAAGGUCAAACAACUUCCUCUUGUUUAUUUUAUAAGCUUCCCGGAGAUGUCAAGCCUUUGAGCUUCAUACGAGUUUUCAGUUUGAAAUCUUCAUUUUUGCGAACAGUUUGUUUCUUCCUCAAUAUCCAGUAAAACUCUGAGUUUUCUUUUAACAAUUAUUGUCGUUAAAAGUAGGAUGGAAAGACGACCCAUUAAGAAUCCAAAGGCUGUUGGCAGGAUAUCAGAGACAUCCACCAGUGGAAACCUGGAGUCUACCCCGAACCGGUGCUUGGUACCAGCCCCGGCCCUUUGAGCCCCACAGGCUUCUAGGUAUUCCUCAGGUGCUUUGGAGGUGGGUCAAAAAGGAUCUUGCUGUGAAAACUACAAAUAGAACUACCAUAUGACCCAGCAAUCCCACUACUG